rnacentral:lncRNA from 1 species
GUUGCAAUGCUAGCAAUGGAGACUAGGCAUUAUGGCUUAAAUUUCACCAACUGUUCCAUUUGUUUCUCGAUGUAGAAAAAGGAGGCAACAAUAUCUAAAACACCUUCUACCAAUCAAAGGUACACUAUGCAGCUUAUGAGUGUAUUUAUUCUAGCAUACAUAGCGUAGCUAGUAACUUAAGAAGUUUAGGUAUGGAUGUUAUUUGAUAGAGUAAAUUAGAGUCGACUAUUCUUCUGUUAGCUUUCAG